CACACCAGUCUAAGACAUAUUGUUUUGCCAACCAUUUCUCCUAUUGCACAUGCUGACACACAAAUCAGUGUCACAGAACUCCCUCCAAACAAGCCCUAUCGAAACACAAAACCUUAUCUCCUGGAAUUUAAGCAAACCUUAUCAACAUGGAGUACACUACCCACCAAACAAUCAGAGAACUAGCAACAGUGUUUUGACUAGCAAUGGCUGCCUUCAGCUCUCAAUUUCAUUGCACAAUCUAUCACAUUUCGCAUGAUAUAAAAGCCAGGCGUUUUGUUUCUUGCUCAGUGAACCCCUCACAGGGUAAUAUCAAGGUGAUUGUAAAUGGAGCUGCAAAGGAAAUAGGAAGAGCAGCAGUACUAGCAGUCACUAAAGCUAGAGGAAUGGAGGUGGCUGGUGCUGUUGACUCACAUUUUGUAGGAGAAGAUAUUGGGAAGGUAUGUGACAUGGAAGAGCCUAUGGAAAUUCCUAUAAUGAAUGAUCUCACCAUGGUAUUAGGUUCCAUAUCUCAGUCGAAAGCGAGAGGAGUCGUCCUCGACUUCACGGAUCCUGAUACAGUUUAUGACAAUGUGAAACAGGCAACAGCAUUUGGCAUGAGAAGUGUGGUUCACGUACCACGGAUAAAGCUAGAGACAGUUUCUGCAUUAUCUGCAUUCUGUGAGAAGGCCACCAUGGUGAGCACAGGUGUUGCAUUCAUGUCAGGGUUGCUUGAUUGCACCAACUCUAUCCAUAGGAUCCAUUCUGCUCCAGCAAGCUGCCAUUUCUGCUUCCUUCCACUACAAGAAUGUAGAAAUUGUGGAAUCAAGGCCCAAUCCAACAGAUUUUCCGUCAACAGAUGCCAACCAAAUUGCCAACAAUCUCUCAAACCUUGGUCAAAUCUACAACAGAGAAGAUAUUUCAACAGAUGUGAGGGCAAGAGGUCAAGUCCUGGGAGAAGAUGGGGUUCGUGUGCAUAGUAUGGUCCUUCCAGGGCUUCCAUCCAGUACAACUGUUUACUUCUCUCGCCCAGGAGAGAAAUGAUGCUGGUGCAGGUUUACUCUGUUAAGCAUGAUAUCACAGAUGUUCAGUCUCUCAUGCCAGGCUUAAUUAUGGCUGUUAGAAAGGUUGUAAAUCUUAAGAAUCUGGUGUAUGGUUUGGAGAAAUUUUUGUAGAAACUCAAAUGAUUCAAUCUCCUGGAUUCAUAACAAAAACUCAGUGUUAAUUUAGUAGACAAUCAACAUCGUCGUGCAAUUAGCAGGAGCAGUUAUGGCUAGUGGAAAUUUUUGCAGGAACUUAGGUGUUCUUCAAUCUACUCAGUGACGAUCUACACCUUCAAAUUGAUUAAGUUAAGGAUCCACAUCAUCCUGUAGUCAGAUAGUAGAGCAAAGAAGCUUAAGUGGAGUGAGAGAGGAAGAACAUGGUCAGUCAUUUUCAUUCACUAUGAAAUGUAGUUUGAUUAAAUUAAUGAGAUUCAACGGUUGGAAUUUUCACUAUCAUAA